rnacentral:rRNA from 1 species
UACAGAGGUCUCAAGCGUUUGUUCGGAUUCAUUGGGCGUAAAGGGCGCGUAGGCGGCCCGCUAAGUCAGACGUGAAAUCCCUCGGCUCAACCGGGGAACUGCGUCUGGUACUGGCAGGCUUGAAUCCGGGAGAGGGAUGUGGAAUUCCAGGUGUAGCGGUGAAAUGCGUAGAUAUCUGGAGGAACACCGGUGGCGAAGGCGGCAUCCUGGACCGGUAUUGACGCUGAGGCGCGAAAGCCAGGGGAGCAAAGCGGG